UACGAGGGGGGCAAGCGUUGUUCGGAAUUAUUGGGCGUAAAGGGCGCGUAGGCGGUUUGACAAGUCUGAUGUGAAAUCUAUGGGCUCAACCCAUAGCCUGCAUUAGAAACUGUCGGGCUUGAGUAUGGGAGAGGUGAGUGGAAUUUCCGGUGUAGCGGUGAAAUGCGUAGAUAUCGGAAGGAACACCUGUGGCGAAAGCGGCUCACUGGACCAUAACUGACGCUGAGGCGCGAAAGCUAGGGGGGCAAACAGG
rnacentral:rRNA from 1 species